AGGAGGAUUUUGUUGAGCUGCUAACUUGACUUUCAAUUUUAAUUUAUUGUCUUUCUG
rnacentral:tRNA from 1 species